rnacentral:rRNA from 1 species
CCCUUAGAUGUUCUGGGCCGCACGCGCGCUACACUGAUUCAUGCAACAAGUUUUGUCCUUGGCUGAUAGGCCUGGGUAAUCUUUGAACGUGAAUCGUGAUGGGGAUAGAUGAUUGCAAUUAUUCAUCUUCAACGAGGAAUUCCUAGUAAACGCAAGUCAUCAGCUUGCAUUGAUUACGUCCCUGCCCUUUGUACACACCGCCCGUCGCACCUACCGAUUGAAUGGUCCGGUGAAAUCUUCGGAUCUGGGAGAUGUCUGAUUAAUUUCGGACGCCUUUUGGAAAAGUUGUUUAAACCUUACCAUUUAGAGGAAGGUGAAGUCGUAACA